UGGAGUUGUAUUUGUUUUGAGUUGUCUAAUUUUUCAUCUAGUGUGGCUUUUUCUUUUCUUUUUGUCUUGGUUAUGUUUUUUAUUUUGAGAUCUUUGGUAUAAUUGGUUUGAACAUAUAUUUUGAGGUGAUCUCGUGCUUUGCAAUUAUGGUGUUGUUUCAUAAACACUUUUUUUUUUUUUUGUAUUUAAUAAAAUUCACUUGCUGAUGAAAUAUAUAUGUUGUAUAACCUUUCCGGAUUUCCA
rnacentral:lncRNA from 1 species